CAAGAUAGCUCAGUCGGUAGAGCAAAGGACUGAAAAUCCUUGUGUCGGCAGUUCGAUUCUGCCUCUUGG
rnacentral:tRNA from 1 species